AUUCCAUUUUACAAUAUUAAGAAAAUAUUCAAAUAAAAGUUCUAAAGAAGAAAUUCUUCGACACACUAUACUUCAGCUUUCGCAGCAAUAAAUUAGAGUUAGCUUUCUCCACUAUUCUGGCAUUCUAACAUUUAUAAAUGAUACAGUAGAAAGAUAUAAAAAAAACUUUAAUAUCAGAAGUGCAUUGGAAAGAAAGUAAACUGUUAAAGGAUAACCAUAACGGAAUUUUUACCCUUACACCAUUUUAAUCUUCAAUUUGGGGGUUAAUUUAUAAAAAAUUGUCUUAUUCCCUUAUUUAAUAAAUUAUGCCAAAAAGUUCUAGCAACCACUGUAUUUUAAUCUAAGGGCAUUUAUGAAUUGUUGAAGUAAUCAAUAUUUCAAUUUUAUUUUAAUUAUUAUCUGCAUUUAGGCUUGGUUAAGUAAUAACCUUGUGUUUAAUUUUCCAAAUCAUUUAUUAUUUAUAAUCUUCGUGAUCAAAUAUUUAACUAUUCCUCUACGUUGCGUGCAUUUCUAUUCUAUUACUAGCGGGAACCCAGCUUUGUCUGGAAAUAAACUUUCGCUGGAAAAGUCCACCCAUUCUUUUAAUUUAAAAAUAAAGCUUAGAACAUUUCUUGAGUUGUGAUCGGAAAUAAAAACAGACAAACAGAGAUUACUAAUUUAUAUAUAUUUAUAUAUAGAUAUUCUUAUUCCCAAUAGUUCACCUUUAAGAAUUUGAGAAAAUUAUGAUUUCCACAUUUUAUAUUUAAGAUAUCCAAUGUUCCCUACAUCCAAUAUUGCAGAACAUAAUCCAGUAAUUCAGUAUUUUCUAGAAUUCCAUAUAGUAUUCCAGUAUUCCAUUAUUCCUUUUUUUCAGAACGUAAUCCAAGAAUUCAAUAAAGUAUUGCAGAAUUGUAGAACUCCAUAACUCCAGUAUUCCCUAAUGUAUUCCAAUAUUCUAUAGAAGUCCAUCAAUGACAGAAUUGCCUAAUUCCAUUAUUCAAGAAUGUAUUCCAGUAUUGCAGAAUUUCAGAAUUUUAAUCCUUUAUUUGAGUAUUCUCUGUAAAGUGUGUUGUGUAUUGAAGUAUGCAGGUUCCUCAAGGUUGUUCCAUCAAGAAUAUUGAGACAAAGUUUUGUCAACUUUUCCAGAAAACAACAUGUUUCUUGGGAGAGAAGGAAAUAUGUCCACCACAUCCUCCCCAAUUCUCAGAAUAGUUCCCCAUCUCACUGCAAACUACACAGAGGGAAAAGAAAUCUGUGAUUUUUGAACAAAAUCUCAACAAGAGUGUGAUUACUGGAAUUGUAUGUGUGGAAUAACUGGGAAUUAUACUGUAGAGUGUAGAGUGGGAUAAAGUUAAAAGUAUACGGGGAGAAUUUAUACUAAUUAUACUGUGUGCAGAUUAUAGUUUAAUAUUUGAAAUAAAAAAAUACAGUUUU